CGGACGGGUGAGUAAUGUCUGGGAAACUGCCUGAUGGAGGGGGAUAACUACUGGAAACGGUAGCUAAUACCGCAUAACGUCGCAAGACCAAAGAGGGGGACCCUCGGGCCUCUUGCCAUCAGAUGUGCCCAGAUGGGAUUAGCUAGUAGGUGGGGUAACGGCUCACCUAGGCGACGAUCCCUAGCUGGUCUGAGAGGAUGACCAGCCACACUGGAACUGAGACACGGUCCAGACUCCUACGGGAGGCAGCAUG
rnacentral:rRNA from 1 species